rnacentral:tRNA from 1 species
GUCCACGUAGCUCAGCUGGAUAGAGCACCCGCCUUCUAAGCGGACGGUCGCGAGUUCGAAUCUCACCGUGGACACCA